UCGCGUACCCUUUUCUUUGCAGUUUCUUCGUUCCUAUCUUGUUUUCCUUCUGAUCCUUGUGGUCGUGCGUUGAUUGGUGGUCGGGCAAUUUCUUCGCGGUUCUGGUUUCCUCUGUGGAGGAUGGUUGAGGUUGGCUCGUCGAUCAUGUCUUUACUUCUUUCAUCGGUGAGUCAGAUCGUUUAUUUCUUUUGGGUCAGUGAUUAUUCCUUGUUUCACCGUGGUUGGCCGGCUAGAUCGACGAGAAUUGGUUAGUUUAUCUUGCUUCUCUACUCUCCUGGUUGUUUCUUGGUGGUUCGAUUUUAUACUUCCAGAGCCAAGUAAACAAUAUGGUUGAAGUGGGUCUCCGUGUGUUCCUUCUCGAGUUCAUCUUGAUUUAUUAGAAUUCUAGUUGAGAUGGAUCUGCGGAUCUGUGAGUAUUCACAAAAAGCAUGGGCCAUGCUCUGAAUUUUCGAAUUGUAACUGCAUCUUUUCUCGCAAGGGCACGGCAUGGGACGUCGUUCAGGCGUUGUCUACGUGCUUGAUCAGGAUUGUCUGACUGUUUCAUGCAGCGGAUCCAGGAGGGUGAUGUUCCAUGAGGUUUUGGAUGCAUGGAUUUCACGAUGUCUAAUUUUAAGAGUAUUUAGAAGUAGAGAUGUUAAUAUGGGUGCUUUCUUAUGUAGUGCUAUUGCGAACUGUGGAUCUGCAUGGAGGUUAAGGUAAAUUAGGAUCUCUGUUGUUUCCUCUACUCUGUUACCUCGACCUUUGCCAUGUCGGGUGCGCUCGCUUGGCAGGUCAAAAAAAAUAAUAAUAAAGGAAUUUUUUUUGGUGUGUGUGGGGGAUCGCAUGGGGUGCUUUUAGGCCCCGGGUUCCCCCUUCUGUGCCUUGUUCUCUGCUUUCCAUCAUAGUGUGCCAGAUAUUUAUGAGAGCUCCGUCUGCCACGAAAGUCUAACGCCAUUUUCACCAAGAUUCAAAGCAAUUCGAUCUACAAAUUUACAAAGGUAUAUAUAUUCAUGUCUUUCAUGUUCAAAAGAAAUAGCAUCAAGGCUCAGCAAUGAAACGGCGACCAGUUUCACAAGGUAUAAGAUAAUCUCAUCCACUGAUUCACUUUGUUCCAAAAUAUUUGUUAUGUUCUAAAGAGAGCAAGUUCAAAUAUUAAUUACGUUUUUGUGAUUUAUUGCGUCCAAUGUUCUUCGAUCGUUCAUUUAUAACUAGUUUUCAAAUAAAUAUUUUUUCUUUUAUUGUUUCGCUUCAUUAAUCAACCACGUCUAUCAGCAAUUGCUGAUUGUUAGCCUGAUCUUGUCUUCACAACGAUGUCCGAUUUUUUUAUUCAUAGAAAUAAUUUGAUUAUCAAGUGAUUUUUUAAUUUUGUAAUUGUAAAUUGUAUCUUUGCUACCGAGUUGUAUCCCCUAGGUACGCAUGCUUUCUUGAACAUGUAUUUAUAGAUCAUACAUUGUUCGGAAGUCAAGGAUUUGAAGACAAAGGUGGACUACUUUCCUUUCAGUAUGGAUUAUGAUGAAUUCCACUGGGACGCGUUGAUGCUAUUUGGCCGUCGUUGAUUGUUUACAUUCAAGUUCAAUUUUCAGCUGAAAACGCAACUAAUAUGCUUCACCGUGAACCAGAAUUGAUAUUCAACACAUUCUGCAACAAAUGCAAUCUUUACCUUGUGGCCCAAAGCUAACAUAUUGAUUCAUAAAGAAUGUUUUUCUUGCUUGGUACUUGUUCUACAACGUGCAGCUGUAAUUUUUGGAGGGGCUAUUGCUAGUAAUAAAGGCACACGGCGCCUUUGCUAGGAAGAAGGGAGUAGGCAGUAUUGGCUCACAUUUGAUUACCUUAUCUAUGUUUAUUACGUAUUUGUAUCUUGUUUGUAGUUUUUAUACGAAGUGUUUUUUUUUUAGUAUUCAUCUGGACAUGUAAUUAGGGAGUAAAUUCAUUUGGAUAUAUACUCUUACUGGUUGAAACGUUUCUUGUUAAA